UAGGACAGUUAAGGGGCUAUUUGGACAUC
rnacentral:piRNA from 1 species